GAAGAACAUACUCAACUUGUAUAAAGCACUGGAGAGAUGACUGGAAAAUCACUUCCACAACUAAUCAGGCAAAAUCAAUAAAGAAACCAACAAAACCUUUGGACAAAGUCUUUAAAAGGAAGGUUUAUCAAUAGACAAGUGAAAAAUGCUUGUGUUAGAAACACAAGAAAUCUGUAGUGUGAAACUGCACAAGACUCCUUAGCCACCAGAAGAGAUGGUGCUGUAAAUGUCAAGUACCAAGUGUCAGUAAAGAUACAGAGCAAAGUGGGAAUGGAAGAUGAAAAGUACCGUGUCCUUUACUUAUGAAGAUAAACAUACAAUUCUACUCCUCCGAUAUUCACCUAAAAGAAAAUGUUCAUGCCUA
rnacentral:lncRNA from 1 species